rnacentral:rRNA from 1 species
AUGAACGCUGACAGAAUGCUUAACACAUGCAAGUCGAUGGGGAAGUGGUGCUUGCACCAUGGCAACCAUGGCGGACGGGUGAGUAACGCGUAAGGGACUUACCUGCAGGACUGGGAUACAGGGGGAAACUCCUGACAAGACCGGAUAAUGUCAUGGAGCUGCAUGGCUUUAUGAUGAAAGGAGACGCCUGCGGAGAGCCUUGCGCCCUAUUAGCUAGUUGGUGAGGUAAUGGCUCACCAAGGCGAAGAUAGGUAGCCGGCCUGAGAGGGUGGACGGCCACAAGGGGACUGAGAUACGGCCCUUACUCCUACGGGAGGCAGCAGUGGGGAAUAUUGGACAAUGGGGGCAACCCUGAUCCAGCAAUUCUGUGUGCACGAAGAAGGUUUUCGGAUUGUAAAGUGCUUUCAGCAGGGAAGAAGUAAGUGACGGUACCUGCAGAAGAAGCGACGGCUAAAUACGUG